rnacentral:rRNA from 1 species
UACGGGGGGAGCAAGCGUUGUUCGGAUUUACUGGGCGUAAAGGGCGCGUAGGCGGCCAGCACAAGUCAGUUGUGAAAUCUCCGAGCUUAACUCGGAAAGGUCAACUGAUACUGUGCGGCUAGAGUGCAGAAGGGGCAACUGGAAUUCUUGGUGUAGCGGUGAAAUGCGUAGAUAUCAAGAGGAACACCUGCGGCGAAGGCGGGUUGCUGGGCUGACACGUGACGCUGAGGCGCGAAAGCUAGGGGAGCGAACGGG